UACAGAGGUCUCAAGCGUUGUUCGGAUUCAUUGGGCGUAAAGGGUGCGUAGGUGGCGCGGUAAGUCGGGGUGUGAAAUCUCGGAGCUUAACUCCGAAAUUGCAUUCGAUACUGCCGUGCUUCGAGGACUGGAGAGGAGACUGGAAUUUAUGGUGUAGCGUGAAAUGCGUAGAGAUCGUAGGAAGACCAGUGGCGAAGGCGGGUCUC
rnacentral:rRNA from 1 species